ACAUGAAAGGGUUUUCACUUCUAAGAAAUACAGGGAGAAAUGGGAGCUGAGUAAUACAUGUGUUCUAGCCUCAUACCUAAUGACAUGCAUUUAUCUUUUGCAGGGCUGAUUUCCAGUGGCACAGACCUGCUAACACAAAAGGUGCUUCCUCCCUGGAAGACUGAGCUGUGGCAGCACAGGUUGCUCCAGGUUAGACAGCAGGCUGGAGGCUGGGUAGUAAUUUAGGUCUAGGCAGAAGGGUGAAGACAUGCAGGAGGGAGAACCACAGGACUGUAACUGCAGGAAGGUUGCAAUGUCCAAUUCAGCCACUUGCAGCCAGCAGCUGCUCUGCUGCCACAGACUGUGCCAGUAACAUAACCGCGCCCUGUUAGGAUAAGAUACCAACUUGGAAGAGCUCCUCUUAAACGUGCUGGGUAGGUCAUUCCCUCACAUUUCAUCUAUUGAAAUAUUUUGGAACAAUUGCAUAAGGCACCUCUUGUUAAGGAACAAAGUACAUCUGUCUGCCACUAGCUUUGGCACAACACUUCUGCCAGCCAGUGACUGACUUGGCCAAUCCGCAAAGCAGAUUGCUUCAUCUACCUUUACAGCAAAAUAUGACUUGCUUAAGACUAACCUGCAGCUACACAU